AAGAUACUAGUAUAGCUGACAAUACACUGCUUUGUCAAGGCAGAAUCGUGGGUUAAACCCCCCACGUAUCUUA
rnacentral:tRNA from 1 species